rnacentral:lncRNA from 1 species
ACAUAUUUUAGCUCUGUUUGAAAUAGUUCUUUGGAAGUUGGUUUUGUUACUUGUUUUUGACCUGUAUCUUUUCAAUCUUGUUUGGAUAAACCGGCGGUAAAGUGUCUCUGAGAGUUUGAGUCCGACUUUGGUAAAGCAUCACAUAUAUGGAAACUAUCUUGGCUUUGACAUAAAUGCAAGUCGAUCUCUUACCUUCCAUUAUGUAUAAGCUUGAAUGUUUGGCUGUGUGUUUUGAGUUACUGAUCAAAUUGUAGAAAAUUCUAUUGCUUCAGAUCAUUUUAUUUUUAAGUCAUGUGAGUGGUAAGACUACUUUGUCUUUACGUAUAUACAAAGAGGCAUAAAGUUGGAGAAGGGGUUGCGGGGCGAGGGAUUUGAGGAGGUGAUAUCGGUGCCCACGGCGACAGGGAGGCAUCACAUUCUUUUCUGUAGUAAAAGAUUAAAGGUAUUGUCUUUUGAAGUUUUUUUUUUUUUAAUUUGAUUUAGAAUUUAAUAUUGAUCCAAGAUCUGAUUUAGAUCUUUCUUAUUCCUUCACUAUGGUUCUUAUUUAAGUUGGAGUUUUGGACAGUAGGACUCUUCUAUAUUCAUUUGUGUUGGUUCUUAUUUAUCAUUGAUCACUUGCGUAUAUAUUAUCCAGGGAAAUAAAUAUGAGCAAAACAGUCUGUUUCUGAAAGGCAGAAAACAUCAGUAUACAUCAGACCAAAAAAGAAAAAGAGAGCAUAGAGGUUUGUCUUUAUUUAUUCCUCAUAGUCAUUACUUUGAAGGUUACAUUAACAGCUUUAAUCAGAAAUAAGGGGAGUUUCUAACGGUUCCUAAUCAAUUUCCUGUUUCCUUCUAGUAGACUUAUAAACUGAAAUGGCAUAAAGUAACUGAACAAACCGGAGAAGAGACUCAUAAGUGUGCUCGCUGAUCCCUUUGCUAUAAUUGACUUGGUCUCAAAAUACGAGGAACAUGUGUAGUCAAGGAUUGCAGAAAUGAAGAGAGAUGUCUAACAUAUUGCGGCUAUGUUAUCUGAUACUCACAUAGGCUCGUUGCAAUCCAGUACAGCUAUAAUUUGUCGCCUUAACAAAUAUUCAACUUUCAUCGUUGUAUUAAUUGGUAGACUCAUCGAUGUGUAUAAACUAUUUAGUCUUAUUUUGAUUUUGGUGGUAUCUAACGAUCAAGUCUUGAUUAAA